AACGUAGGAGACAAACGUUAUCCGGAGUUACUGGGCGUAAAGGGCGUGUAGGUGGUUGCGUAAGUCUGGCGUGAAAUAUCUCGGCUUAACCGAGGCAGGUCGUCGGAUACUGCGUAACUGGAGGACGGUAGAGGCGUGUGGAAUUCCGGGUGUAGUGGUGAAAUGCGCAGAUAUCAGGAGGAACACCGGUGGCGAAGGCGGUGGUCUGGGCCGGCACUAACGCUGAGGAGCGAAAGCGUGGGGAGCGAACAGG
rnacentral:rRNA from 1 species